UGAGGAAUUUAAUUCAACUGUUGUUAUUUGACAGAAAGAUGGACCAGGGGCACCAGGAGGACAGUCCUGGACAGUGCAAUGGCUGAAGUUUGAUAAUUCUUACUUCAAGGACAUCAAAGAAAAAAUAGAUGAAGAACUACUUGUGUUGCCAACUGAUGCUAUUCUUUUCGAAGAUCCAUCUUUCAAGGUAUAUGCUGAGAAAUAUGCGGUAGAUCAAGAAGCAUUUUUCAAAGAUUAUGCUGAAGCCCAUGCAAAACUCAGUAACCUUGGAGCUAAAUUUGAUCCUCCUGAG